rnacentral:rRNA from 1 species
GUGCCAGCAGCCGCGGUAAUACGGAGGGUGCAAGCGUUAUCCGGAAUUACUGGGUUUAAAGGGUACGUAGGCGGGACAAUAAGUCAGAGGUGAAAACUUUGUGCUAAACGCAAAGACUGCCUUUGAAACUGUUGUUCUUGAGUAUGAGAGAGGUUUGCAGAAUGCGACGUGUAGCGGUGAGAUGCAUAGAUAUGUCGUAGAGUACCGAUUGCGAAGGCAGCGAACUGGCUCAUUACUGACGCUGAGGUACGAAAGCGUGGGGAGCGAACAGGAUUAGAAACCCCUGUAGUCC